rnacentral:rRNA from 1 species
CAAUCAAACCGGGAGAUAGCUGGUUCUCCCCGAAAGCUAUUUAGGUAGCGCCUCGUGAACUCAUCUUCGGGGGUAGAGCACUGUUUCGGCUAGGGGGUCAUCCCGACUUACCAAACCGAUGCAAACUCCGAAUACCGAAGAAUGUUAUCACGGGAGACACACGGCGGGUGCUAACGUCCGUCGUGAAGAGGGAAACAACCCAGACCGCCAGCUAAGGUCCCAAAGUCAUGGUUAAGUGGGAAACGAUGUGGGAAGGCACAGACAGCCAGGAUGUUGGCUUAGAAGCAGCCAUCAUUUAAAGAAAGCGUAAUAGCUCACUGGUCGAGUCGGCCUGCGCGGAAGAUGUAACGGGGCUAAACCAUGCACCGAAGCUGCGGCAGCGAACGUAUCACUUAAAACGCUUAACGUGACGGCAAAGCCGGCAUGUUCAAGCCA